AACGUAGGACGCGAGCGUUAUCCGGAGUUACUGGGCGUAAGGCGCGGGCAGGCGGUCUGACAAGUCUGAUGUGAAAUCUCCGGGCUCAACCGGGAGAGGCCAUUGGAAACUGACAGGCUGGAGGGCAGUAGAGGUAGGCGGAAUUCCGGGUGGAGUGGUGAAAUGCGUAGAGAUCCGGAGGAACACCAGAGGCGAAGGCGGCCUACUGGGCUGCACCUGACGCUGAGCCGCGAAAGCCAGGGGAGCGAACGGG
rnacentral:rRNA from 1 species